rnacentral:rRNA from 1 species
UACAGAGGUCUCGAGCGUUAGGCGGAAUCACUGGGCUUAAAGCGUGUGUAGGCGGAUUGCUAAGUACCUUGUGAAAUCCCACGGCUUAACCGUGGAACUGCUUGGUAUACUGGCUGUCUUGAGCCACUUAGGGGCAACCGGAACAAACGGUGGAGCGGUGAAAUGCGUAGAUAUCGUUUGGAACGCCAAUGGUGAAAACAGGUUGCUGGGAGUGCGCUGACGCUGAGACACGAAAGCCAGGGGAGCAAACGGG